GUUUGCAUUUGAGAAAACACUUCUAGGCAGUGAGUGGAGAAUGAAAAGGAAAUACAAAGCCUGGAGAGAGGGAGACCAUGGGGAGGCUGCUACAGCAGUCACACAACCACAGCGAUGGCCUGCAUCAGGGCAGUGGCAGUAGGAACAGAUCUGAAGCCUUUGGAAGAGACAAGGAAACUGGAGCUCAGAGAGAUUCAAUGCCUUACCCAAAGUCACACAGCAGGUAUAGUAAGUGUGCCAGUGUACCUUAAACCCAGGUAAGCCUGACCCCAAAGGGAUCUUUCUGUGGCCCAGCUGCCUUCCCUGCUUAGUCCCACCUGUGCUCCAGCCUUUCCCUCCCAGAGCUGACACCACACUGACUGUCCUCACUGCCCCGGAGUCUGUUUUUGAGCUGAACCUCUUGCUGUGGGCAAGCUCUCCAGAACCCACGAGGAUCGCCCGUGGCCCUGAGCAGAUGGCUGGACAAGCUGAGCUGCCAUCUCCCCCACUGCAGAGUGCAGGCCUAUCUGCUGUCCAGUAUGAUAACCAGAACUGUCACUGGCCCCAUACCAGCCCAGGACAGUGGUAUUAGGAGCUCGUGUUUGAAUCAGGAAGCAGACAAGUGGACAAGCAGCAGGCAGCACAGAACGAAGGAAAGCCUGUGGGGACAAAAAGGAGGUGGCUGACCCCCUAAAGUCUCCUGAAUGCUGAGGACAAGUUAACCAGCAGGGAGUGUGGGAGCAGAGGAUGGGUGAAAACAAAAAGUAUGAGCACUGAAUAGUUACAAAAAGAAACAAAUGGACCAGAAAGGGUCAAUAGGAGCACAGAGAACGAAGGGCAGAUGGUGAGAGUGAGGCUGGGAAGAUCAGCAGGCCAUUCAGGCAAGGCCCCUUCCCUGUGGGGGGCACAGGUUGUCCUGGGAGGCAGAAAGCCUGGUUCUGCCCUGCCUGCCACUGCUGCCAUUAUUUACGGGACAUGUGGCCCUGGGAAGACUCCUUUCCUCUCUGGGCCUCCGUCUUCUCAUCUGCAGACGGACAGCCUCGCCCGCUCCUGGGAAAGGACCUUCUGAAACAGAUGCUCCUCCUUUCCAUGCUCCAUCCAUGACAAGUCAGGCAGAUGCCUCCAUGCCCCCCUGACACUGCUCUCACCAGUGGCAUCAGUGACCUCCACAUUGCCAAAUCCAGCCCACAAGUCAGGCCUUUUUUUGGACCUCUCAGAGGCACUGGGCUUGGCUCACCCCACAUUUGCUUUAGCCUCUGUAACGCCACACUCUCCCAGUGUUCUCCCGCCUCCCCGACUGCUGCCUUGGCCUCCUCUCUCUGUCUCUGUGCCUCAUCCAUUCACCAUUUGCUCCUCAGGCUUGUAAGCAGAGGUCAGAUCCUGGGUCCAGGACCCACCCAUCACUGUCAGUCACCACUAGGGCCCCAAUGAUCCCCCUGCCCCAGAGCUAAGACUCACCAUCCCACCUGCACAGAGACCUCCUAACACUGGGCUAGGGAGAGACACACAGUCUUCCAAAAACCAAAGAUCUUCCCUACAGGCCAGAGCAUGACCCCAAGCACUGUUAAGCUUUUACCCCCGUAGCUGCAGUUGGAAACACCCAGGACAGGACAGUCACGAUCCAAACCUGGCGAGAUGAGUCAUCCAAGGGGAGCCAGCAUUAGGUAAAAUGGACUUCCUGGACUUCCCUUCGUGGCACAUCUUUUUUCCUUAAUAUUAAUUGCCUUCUAACUUACCAUAUGAUCAACCCAUUUAUGGUGAUCGUGUAUGUCUGUGUUCAUAGUCUCCCUAUUAGAAUUUAAGCAACACAAGAACAGGAAUUACUGUUUUUUUCAUGGCUGGAUCCCCAGUACAUAGAACAAUACCCAGCUCAAUAGAAGUGCUUAAUAAAUAUUUGUUAAAUGAAAUCAAGAAAGGACUGGUACUCCACUGGAAAUGCCUGCCCAACCUACUGGGGGUCCUAAAGAUCCAAGGUCCAGCAUCCCCAUGCAGAGGCCUCCUCAGAACCCAGUGCCCCACCUCUGAAGAGUAUUCCCACUCCUAAGUCUCUGUUCGCUAACCCCAAAGCCUCAGCCUCCAUUCCUGAGCCCUAUGUGAGACCUACACCCCACAACCAUCAAGAGCCAGAAAUAAGGGCUGCCGCCUCUACUGGGAGCCACCAGGGAACCUGGGAGCCUCCUUUGGUGAGGACUUAAUCUGUCUUGAACCUCUGAUAAAGCACCUUGCCACCCUGACCAUGUGGCUCAGUUGAUUAAGCGUCAUCCUUCGAAGUGAAGGUCAAAGUUUCGACUCCUGGGCAGGGCACAUAUCUAGGUUGCAGGUUUGGUCCCAGGCUGGGAUGCAUAUGAGAGGCAACCAUCGACAUUUCUCUCCCUCUCUUUCUCCUUCCCAUCCUCUUGCUCUAAAAACUUAAUUAUUUUUAUAAAGCACCAGACCAACCACGGGAGCUGAACCAUACCCGUGGGGCAGCCCUGACUGGAAAGUGUUGGUGCACAAGUGCUGGGAAGAGGCCCCUUCUGAGAGGCCUGGAAGAGGGAAAAGAAUGGCAACCCUACUGGGGAAGCCCUCGGAGGGGUAGGAUUCUCCCUCAGAGGACAGCUGGGUCCCAGAGGCCCCCAUCUCGGGGGAGCCAGGUUCUUUUCGUGCCUUUCCUUUUAAUGUCCCAAUGCUCAGGCCUAUGGGUGCAACAUGCAAGCACAAAGUCCAGCCCCCUU